rfam:Treponema pedis str. T A4, complete genome.
GUUUAUCUGGCGAGUUUUGCCUCGCGGCAAAACAUCUUAUAUUGUAUGUGCUUUUUCACUUCGCUGCAAAAGCACCGGCUAAAAACUUUUUUAAAAAUUUGAUAAUUUUUUCAAAACUUUUUAUGGAGG